rnacentral:rRNA from 1 species
GAGUUUGAUCCUGGCUCAGGACGAACGCUGGCGGCGUGCCUAAUACAUGCAAGUUGAACGAUGAUUUCUGGUACUUGUAUCAGAAUGAAGAGUAGCGAACGGGUGAGUAACGCGUGGGUAACCUACCUCUUAGCGGGGGACAACUAUUGGAAACGAUAGCUAAUACCGCAUAACAAUAUUAAACACAUGUUUAACAUUUGAAAGUACCAAUUGGUACACUAGGAGAUGGACCCGCGUUGUAUUAGCUAGUUGGUAGUGUAAUGGACUACCAAGGCGAUGAUACAUAGCCGACCUGAGAGGGUGAUCGGCCACAUUGGGACUGAGACACGGCCCAAACUCCUACGGGAGGCAGCAGUAGGGAAUCUUCGGCAAUGGACGAAAGUCUGACCGAGCAACGCCGCGUGAGUGAAGAAGGUUUUCGGAUCGCAAAACUCUGUUGUUAGAGAAGAACGUUGUGUAGAGUGGAAAAUUACACAAGUGACGGUAUCUAACCAGAAAGGGACGGCUAACUACGUGCCAGCAGCCGCGGUAAUACGUAGGUCCCGAGCGUUGUCCGGAUUUAUUGGGCGUAAAGCGAGCGCAGGUGGUUUAAUAAGUCUGAUGUAAAAGGCAGUGGCUCAACCAUUGUGUGCAUUGGAAACUGUUAGACUUGAGUGCAGUAGAGGAGAGUGGAAUUCCAUGUGUAGCGGUGAAAUGCGUAGAUAUAUGGAGGAACACCAGUGGCGAAGGCGACUCUCUGGUCUGUAACUGACACUGAGGCUCGAAAGCGUGGGGAGCAAACAGGAUUAGAUACCCUGGUAGUCCACGCCGUAAACGAUGAGUGCUAAGUGUUGGAGGGUUUCCGCCCUUCAGUGCUGCAAUUAACGCAUUAAGCACUCCGCCUG